CUGGCUCAGGAUGAACGCUAGCUACAGGCUUAACACAUGCAAGUCGAGGGGCAGCAUUGGGAUAGCUUGCUAUUCAGAUGGCGACCGGCGCACGGGUGAGUAACGCGUAUCCAACCUUCCUGCCAGUAGGGAACAGCCCGGCGAAAGUCGGAUUAAUGCCCUAUGUUCUUCAAUGCGGACAUCUAAGUUGAAGGAAAGAUUCAUCGCUGGCAGAUGGGGAUGCGUCCGAUUAGCUUGCCGGCGGGGUAACGGCCCACCGGGGCGACGAUCGGUAGGGGUUCUGAGAGGAAGGUCCCCCACACUGGUACUGAGACACGGACCAGACUCCUACGGGAGGCAGCAGUGAGGAAUAUUGGUCAAUGGGCGUAAGCCUGAACCAGCCAAGUAGCGUGCAAGGAUGACGGCCCUACGGGUUGUAAACUGCUUUUAUGCGGGGAUAAAGUGCGGCACGUGUGCCGCUUUGCAGGUACCGCAUGAAUAAGGACCGGCUAAUUCCGUGCCAGCAGCGGC
rnacentral:rRNA from 1 species